ensembl:lncRNA
CGGAAAGAAGGAAGGAAAGAGGAAUCAUGGGAUAUGAAGAAAGGAAGGAAGGAAGAGCGAUGGAAAGAGGGAAGAAUGGAAGUGAUAGAGAGAAAGAAGCUGAAUGGAGAGACGAGACUAAAAGAAAGGGGAAAUUCUAAGAGCUGAGACACUAUUUUUACCGAGACAUUUGUACUAAUUCCAUGUUCUCAUUUUUUUAAUUUCAUUUCUCUUUUAUUUAUUCGAAUUAUUUAAAUUAUAAAUACUUUUCUAGAAUAUUAGAUAAAUGAGUUGUUUUUUUUACUUAUUUACUAUAUUAUUUAUUUAUUUAUUUAUUUUCGCAGUGAAAGGAUUUGAGUAAAACAGCAGAUCAAGCAGCAGGUUUAAUAAUUGAAUACCUAUUACACAGAUCAGCGUCAUCCUUUAUUUAUUUAUUUAUUUAUAUAUUUUAAAUCCUUGUCCUCCCCUCUGUCUCUGACUCACCCCGCUGUUUCUGUCCAUAAUCCCUUCUCUAUUUUAUUAGCCCUUUUUAUUGCUCAGUACAGCAGGAUUUGACAAAUGCAAUGGGGUUUUGGUGACAGGGUCGUGCUUGUCCUCGCACCCUUUCACCCCGGGCACCCAUCAGCGCCUGCUGACGGCUUCAUCAACACACUCACCCCCUCCUCCUUUUACCCAUCCUCCUCCUCCUUCUCCUCCUCCACCCUUCCCUCCUCCCCAUGUUCCCUCCUCCCUGUUUUUGAGCGUUUGUUCCUAGCAUCUGUUUCGCCUGGUGAUUAAUUGCAAUUAGCGAGAGGGUUGAAAGCCCGUGGAAGAAUGCAGCGGUGAGCAGACACAUCAAGAUUAAUGAGGGAAGGCAGUUGUCAGAAGGACGCACGCCUGCGAUGGCAGGGCACCUGGGGGGGAGGAGGAGGAGGAGGAAGGGAGGGUGCAUUUGUAUAGGGCAGAAGCAAGUGUGUGUGUGUGUGUGUGUGUGUUUGAAAUACCCUCCGCAUGUUUACUGCUUAUCAUAUCUCUAGGCUUUUUUUCCUCCCAGCGAGAGGCAGUGUGUCCCUGCAGGAGGAAGAACAGAGGAUAGACAGAAUGAGACAAGAAGAGUGAGAAGGGAGGGAAGAGGAGUCAAGGAAGGGAGGAGAGAAGAGGAGGGCAAACGCAACCCCGGGGGGCUGAUUAAAUAUGGAAAUUUUAAUUGCUAAUUGACCUUUAUUAAUCAGAGCACAGAAGUGUAUCUUUUGUACUUACUGUGGCUGAGAUGUGAGUUUAUCAGAGAGAGAGAGAGAGAGAGAGAGAGAAAGUAAGCAUGUGCAUGCUACUGGAGUUAGGGGUCCUAGCCUGUUAAUUUUUUCUGCUUACAAAUUAAAGAUGUGUCUCAAGUAUGAACAUGGUAGAGGUAAUAAGCUAUAAGGUAUACUAUAUUUUAUACUGUAAUCUAUAGGCGUAUGAUACUACACUAAGCUAUAAGGUAUACUAUAUUUGAUACUAUAAUGUAUAGGUGUAUGAUACUAUACUAAGCUAUAAGGUAUACUAUAUUUGAUACUAUAAUGUAUAGGCGUAUGAUACUAUACUAAGCUAUAAGGUAUAUUUGAUACUAUAUUUUAUAGGCGUAUGAUACUAUACUAAGCUAUAAGGUAUAUUUUAUACUAUAAUGUAUAGGCGUAUGAUACUAUACUAAGCUAUAAGGUAUAUUUGAUACUAUAAUGUAUAGGCGUAUGAUACUAUACUAAGCUAUAAGGUAUAUUUUAUACUAUAAUGUAUAGGCGUAUGAUACUAUACUAAGCUAUAAGGUAUACUAUAUUGUAUACUAUAUUGUAUAGGUGUACAAUACUAAACUAUAAGAUACCCACUUUCAGAUUCAAUUAUGCCACAUUCUGUCCUAAAAAUAGCUUUAAAUGUUUAUGCACUGUGUAUUUACUAAACUUGGGACAAUUAGCAGCGACCAGGUGUCAGGUCAGCCAAAAGAGCAAAUACAGCGCAAUUACACACUUAUUAUAUGAUGUAGCCUAUUUUGUAAUAAAUAGCCGUUUAAUUGGGGCUAAAUCAAUCGGUUGAGCUCUUUUUAAAGCACCUACUACAGUGCUUUAGUUGCUUUUGGCCCCAGAUGAAAGUUGUUGUUUUUUACACUUGGAAUUUUUUAAUCCUUUAUUACAGUUUGCAAACUAUUAGCAACGAUUAAAUAAGCUAAAAUAUAUGCGGGUAGACGUUUACUAAAAUUUGUAACCUCUUCAGGAGGCUGACGCUAACGUACACUGAGUCAACGUGAGAGUCGUUUAAGAAGUUAUCGAACGUCAAUAAUCGAAUUAUCAAAUAAAAUAUCAAGUAUUAAACCAGGAUGUCUGUGGAUCUCUACUGAUCCCGAGUAACAAUCUCUCCUACAUUCCUCCAUUUUAUUCCGCAUCCGCCAAGCCGAGGCUUCGCGUCUCUAAGCCACGCAUCAUUAGACAGCGUGUGUAAGUGUAUAAGACACGGCUGUAUCCGGCUACACAGCGCUGUGGCCAGCGCCGGUGUGCAUUACACAGCCCACUAACCACUGCUGACUAAAUCAAAUUCAACUUAAUCGACUUAGGGCUUUAGUAAUUGGAUGUUCUGUGAUCUGACGGCCCUGACUAGAGCCAACAUGAGGCUAACGAGGAGAAAUCAGCACUGUGCAGUGUGACACACACACACACACAAACACACACGCUGAACUUAUGAGCGUUUUUCCAUUGUACAGAGAUCCGAAACUUUGAGCGCCAGCCAGCUUUAACUCUCGUUCCAAUGAGAAGUGAGUGAUUUAUUUUCAGGAGCUAAACGUGUGAAAGCCUAACUAGUUCUCUCUCGUCCCAGAGGUUCCACGUGGUUGGUUUUUUUGUUUCCUGUCUAACAUCAGCACCGACAGGAACUAAAGAGAAGUAGGAAGUAAUAAAGUACAAUUAUUUUGCUACAUUAAUUAUGUUUGUUACACUAAUUAUGAUUCUGAGUAUCUGCACUGUACUUGAAUUCUUCUUUCACGUUUUCCUACACAGAUGAUAUAACGAGGCGAGUCGCUAAUAAUACGCUGACGUAAUUAGUUCUAUAUUUCGACAUAAAAAUGGCGGUUAAACAAUAACGAAAAAGAACAUCCUGUAAGUGCACGUCUUGCGACGUGACAUUGGCUCUUUCGUAUUACUUCACCUUAGCUAUUUCACCAUUAAGCAGUUCACGGUAGCUAGUUUAUUACAAUGUUAGCUAGUUUAUAUCGUCAGAGUUAUUAGGUGGCAUUAGUUCGUUUCAGUGUUCGCUUGAGGUGCAAACAUUUACGGUUUAGCCAAAGAAUUAACAAGUUUUUAUCACCGCUUUGACGAUAUCUGACUUUUCUGGUUUUUCAGCUAAAACAGCGGUAAAGGAGGAUAAAGAUCGACCUGCAGGAAAGCCGAUUCACUGAAGGGGAAAGGGCACAGGACACGAAACAAAUGUAAUCUGCGCUAAAUUUGACCUGUGAAUUCACCGAGUCUUUGGUUUGUAAAAGAAAUGGAAGAUUUGCGUAGUAUUAAUUCGCUUGUUUUCGUCUUGUUGCGUGGUAGAAUUUAUCGUUGUAGGAUCACGUUGUAGGAUUUAAGCCACAGGCAUUUUUUCCUCAUCAGUGAUGGUUUUUUUUUUUUUUUUUUGUAUUCUUCGUCUUAUUAUUAUUAUUAUUAUUUAAUAAGAGUCUGUAGUUUUAUAAAGACUUUGAGUAAACAAUUUGCCGUGCUUGUGUUUACAAGAGGAUUUAUUUAUUUAUUUAUUUAUUUAUUUAUUUAUUUAUUGCAGCACAGCUUUUCCAUUUUCACUUCAGUAAGGAAUAGUUUGUACUUCUUCCACUUCUGGAACUAAUGGUACUCUGGAGCGGUGGAACUCUACCAUAGCAGGGCUAAAAGAAAAGUGCUUUAAUGGUGGUUCAGUGGACCUGAUGGACUUGAGUAUGUGGGGAAAAGAAAAGAGAAAACAGCGAAAUAUAAUAUUCAUGCUCAUAUGUAUAGAAAUACUCUUAAUUUAAUCUUAGUUUAAUUUACACAGGAUACGGUAUAUCGUGGUUCUGGAACCGUUGGGCCAAUUCUCAUGAGUUAUUUACUCAAGUCAAGUGGGUUUUAGUGUCAAUCUUAGGUUCCAGAAAUGUUCUCUGGUCGAUGAAAGUGUUCCUGUGUUGGAAAUGCAUGUAAAGAUCCCGGCUAUACAUUGGAAAAAAUCUUCCAUUCUCACAUCCAUGAAAGCCAGCCAGCAAAUUAACUUCAACGCCAAGCCUUUACUUCAACUAGUUGGCGCUGUGUGUGCUAAAAGUAAAGACAGCACAAACAAGACCAAUGUCCAAGACCGUCAAUAAGUCAGAGUCAAGUCCACGUCAAUACAGGGAAUAUCUUGAGACCGAGCUCGAGUCCUAUAGCCAUAGCAUGUUCAUAAAUACACCAAACAAUAAAUACACAAUAAGGACAGGGCUAAUAGAAGAAUGGUGGCUGCAGUCACUGUUGAGACAGGAAGCCUCUUUCAGUCUCUUUAUCUCUCAUUCCCUCCUCCUGUCUGUCUCUCUCCCUCUCUGGAGGAUCAGACUAAAAGCGUUUCAGCUCGGGUAAUCCUGUUAGCCGCGCUCCCGUGUUCAGACAGGACGGCUGCAGGCUCCUCUGAGGCCACCUCUCGUUUUUGUCCUCCUCCCUCCGUCUUUCAUAGCUUUGCGAAACACUGACCAGGACCCCUCAGCCUCAGAGGCACGACCUGACGCGCAGGGGGGUCGGGCGGUUGAAAGCGAGAACACUGAGCCGCUCAGGCAUGAGAGAGCCGAACUGAACUAGCCUUCUGGAUGGAGCUGGAUUUAGCAUAACAGUACACACACACCAUCUGUGCAUACAAACAUUCACACACCCUCUAAAACCUUCACAUCAGGGGUAAGAGCCACUUCUUUUUCCCUGAAUCAGCACUGCUCACUCAAGGUCUUUAAAUCAAACACACUGGCUCAUGCUGGCUCCUGGUAAACCCCGCCCCAAAGCAGGAUGUAGUGAGCAGUAUGCUAGCGUGAAUGUUUCCAGAAUUUCCAGAACCAUUUCAAAUGCAAACUAAUAGAGGUUUCAUUUUUAUCCAGUAGGGGGCGCUCUAUUUUACACACCGCUCGUGUCCCAGGCUGACUCGUCGUAUGGUGUGUGUGUGUGUGUGUGUGUGUAUGGUUCCUGAGGGACAUCUGUGAUUGAGUUCUGUGCUAUAAAGCUGUCCAUAUGCCAGACGCCACGUCUGAGAGGCGAAAUGCUGAGACGCAGGAAACGAAUGAUUAUCUGUCACAAGGCAGUGCGCUGCUUUUAUCAUGCGCUAUAUCUUCCUCAGUUAGCAUGCUGGGUGAAAUAUAGCGUAGCUUUUUACAGCUCUGCGCCCCGUCCGAGGCCCUCGGACAGUUCACUACACACUAAAUUGUCGUAGUUUAUCCUGAUCAGUCCCGUCUGUCUGUGCUCACGGCAGAAAGCUGUUACUUUGCAGUGUUUGUUUGGAAAUUAAUUAAGGUUAGGGUUAGCGUGGUGCUUCAGCAAAACAUGGACCGAUAAAUUUGUAGUACUUUUUUAUAGGCAGC